CAGCAGCCGCGGUAAUACCGGCGGCCCGAGUGGCGGUCACUAUUAUUGGGCUUAAAGCGUCCGUAGCCGGGUUGGGAAGUCCUCCGGGAAAUCUGGCCGCUUAACGGUCAGAAUGCCGGAGGAUACUCCCAGCCUAGGGAGCGGGAGAGGCCGAGGGGAUUCCCGGAGGAGGGGUGGAAUCCUAUAAUCCCGGGAGGACCACCUGUGGCGAAGGCGCUCGGCUGGAACGCGUCCGACGGUGAGGGACGAAGGCCAGGGGAGCAAACCGGAUUAGAUACCCGGGUAGUCCUGGCUGUAAACGAUGCGGACUUUGUGUCGGACAAGCUAUGAGCUUGUCCGGUGCCGGAGGGAAACCGUUAAGUCCGCCGCCUGGGGAGUACGGCCGCAAGGCUGAAACUUAAAGGAAUUGGCGGG
rnacentral:rRNA from 1 species